CCUACGGGUGGCAGCAGUGAGGAAUAUUGGUCAAUGGGCGCGAGCCUGAACCAGCCAAGUCGCGUGAGGGAAGACGGUCCUAUGGAUUGUAAACCUCUUUUGUCGGGGAGCAAAAGACGCCACGCGUGGCGUUCUGAGAGUACCCGAAGAAAAAGCAUCGGCUAACUCCGUGCCAGCAGCCGCGGUACUACGGAGGAUGCGAGCGUUAUCCGGAUUUAUUGGGUUUAAAGGGUGCGCAGGCGGAAGAUCAAGUCAGCGGUAAAAUUGAGAGGCUCAACCUCUUCGAGCCGUUGAAACUGGUUUUCUUGAGUGAGUGAGAAGUAUGCGGAAUGCGUGGUGUAGCGGUGAAAUGCAUAGAGAUCACGCAGAACUCCGAUUGCGAAGGCAGCAUACCGGCGCUCAACUGACGCUCAUGCACGAAAGUGUGGGUAUCGAACAGGAUUAGAUACCCUGGUAGUC
rnacentral:rRNA from 1 species